GACGAACGCUGGCGGCGUGCCUAAUACAUGCAAGUUGAGCGGUGAAGAUUGGUGCUUGCACCAAUUUGAAGAGCAGCGAACGGGUGAGUAACGCGUGGGGAAUCUGCCUUUGAGCGGGGGACAACAUUUGGAAACGAAUGCUAAUACCGCAUAACAACUUUAAACAUAAGUUUUAAGUUUGAAAGAUGCAAUUGCAUCACUCAAAGAUGAUCCCGCGUUGUAUUAGCUAGUUGGUGAGGUAAAGGCUCACCAAGGCGAUGAUACAUAGCCGACCUGAGAGGGUGAUCGGCCACAUUGGGACUGAGACACGGCCCAAACUCCUACGGGAGGCAGCAGUAGGGAAUCUUCGGCAAUGGACGAAAGUCUGACCGAGCAACGCCGCGUGAGUGAAGAAGGUUUUCGGAUCGUAAAACUCUGUUGGUAGAGAAGAACGUUGGUGAGAGUGGAAAGCUCAUCAAGUGACGGUAACUACCCAGAAAGGGACGGCUAACUACGUG
rnacentral:rRNA from 1 species